rnacentral:tRNA from 1 species
GGGCGGGUGGCGGAACUGGCAGACGCAAGGGACUUAAAAUCCCUCGGGUGAAUAACCUGUGUGGGUUCGAUUCCCACCUCGCCCACCA